AACGAACGCUGGCGGCAUGCCUAACACAUGCAAGUCGAACGAGACCUUCGGGUCUAGUGGCGCACGGGUGCGUAACGCGUGGGAAUCUGCCCCUUGGUUCGGAAUAACAGCGAGAAAUUGCUGCUAAUACCGGAUAAUGACGUAAGUCCAAAGAUUUAUCGCCAAGGGAUGAGCCCGCGUAGGAUUAGCUAGUUGGUGUGGUAAAGGCGCACCAAGGCGACGAUCCUUAGCUGGUCUGAGAGGAUGAUCAGCCACACUGGGACUGAGACACGGCCCAGACUCCUACGGGAGGCAGCAGUGGGGAAUAUUGGACAAUGGGCGAAAGCCUGAUCCAGCAAUGCCGCGUGAGUGAUGAAGGCCUUAGGGUUGUAAAGCUCUUUUACCCGGGAUGAUAAUGACAGUACCGGGAGAAUAAGCUCCGGCUAACUCCGUGCCAGCAACGCGGC
rnacentral:rRNA from 1 species